CUGAGGAUGUUUAUCUCCAUCGACUUCCCAUUAAGGAAAUCCAAGUGUCCUUGGAGCAAGAGGGAAAUGGCCCUGUGGGAGUUCGGGAAUGCAGGUAGUACACGCAGGGCAGCAUCUGUCACUUGACUGAACAGAACUGGGAGUACUCACAGGGUUUAGAACACAGCAAGGGGACAAGACUGUGACGGCCCCAGGUGGAUAUUGUGAGUGGCAAGGUCCUGUGUCCUGAGACCUGGGCCACAAAGAUGACACCUAGUAUCCUCUGAGGCUCACAGAUUGUGCAGGCAGAAUGACAUUAAGGAUCUGAGAUGAGAUCAUCCUGGAUUAUCCACCGACAGAAAUGUCACCACUGUGUGCUCCUGAGGAGAUGGCGAGCAGUGUGCUACCACAAGGAGGCUGAGACCACGUGUGUCAGACAGGGUCCCUGGGCAGUCCCCAAAGGAGUGCCAACCCUCAGCCCCCUGGCCAUGGCAGGGUGUGCUGGUGCCCAGGAGAAGAGUACUCACCUGCGGCUGCUGUGGGCACAGUGACCCUGUCCCGCUGGGCUUUGGGCCAAGGAGAUGGGACUACCAUCCAGCCUCAUCAUCCACCAGGAGACUAUGAGGCGCCCUUUCACUUUCCAGUUGGGCAAAAGCCAGACAUCCUGGAGUAGGAAACUGCUUACGGGAACAAGGAGGAGCGAAUCACAGGCCCUGCGGGAACAGGACUGGGAUCUUGGGGAGCAGCCAUGUUACAGUGGUGCACAGGGGUGUGUGGAAGAGUGACCAGGAAGCCUGGGUGUCUGGAGCUGCCUGUUGCCGGGCCUUCCAGGCUGGGUUGGACUCUGCAUGUGCUGACCUGAUCACCUGCCUGUGUCCCUGCUGUUGGUGGAAGUGGGACUGAAGCUCCCUGUACCACAGCCCAGAACUUCUGGGUGGCUCUGAGCUGCAGGAGUGAGAGGAGCUGCGCUGUCCUAGGACUCAGGCUCGGCUGCCCUGUGCACGAGGGAAAGGUGUGUCACCACUAGAGGGUGUGGAGGAGGACUGUGCUGGAUGGAUGAUGGCCCUGCUGCGGGCAGACUGGACCUCCUUUGGAACUGGCCUAGCUCUGCACACACCUGUAUGU